GACGCCGCGUGGGGGAGGAAGGCCCUAGGGUUGUAAACCCCUGUCAGGUGGGACGAAUCAAGGGAUCGGCAAACAGUCGGUUCCCCUGACGGUACCGCCAGAGGAAGCUCCGGCUAACUCCGUGCCAGCACCCGCGGUGACUGAGCGGGCUGGCAAGGCGCAUA
rnacentral:rRNA from 1 species